rnacentral:tRNA from 1 species
GUCCAGGAGCGGAAUCGAACCCACAACCUUCUGCUUACCGUGUCCACUAGGCUAUCCUGGA